CGAAAGUCUGACGGAGCAACGCCGCGUGAGUGAAGAAGGUUUUCGGAUCGUAAAGCUCUGUCUUCAGGGACGAAUGUGCUUAAUGUGAAUAAUGUUAAGUAAUGACGGUACCUGAGGAGGAAGCCACGGCUAACUACGUGCCAGCAGCCGCGGUAAUACGUAGGUGGCAAGCGUUGUCCGGAAUUAUUGGGCGUAAAGCGCGCGCAGGCGGGAAUGUAAGUCUGUCUUAAAAGUUCGGGGCUCAACCCCGUGAUGGGAUGGAAACUACAUUUCUUGAGUGCAGGAGAGGAAAGUGGAAUUCCUAGUGUAGCGGUGAAAUGCGUAGAUAUUAGGAGGAACACCAGUGGCGAAGGCGACUUUCUGGACUGUGUCUGACGCUGAGGCGCGAAAGCCAGGGGAGUGAACGGGAUUAGAUACCCCGGUAAUCCUGGCCGUAAACGAUGGGUACUAGGUGUAGGAGGUAUCGACCCCUUCUGUGCCGGAGUUAACGCAAUAAGUACCCCGCCUGGGGAGUAC
rnacentral:rRNA from 1 species